AUUGAACGCUGGCGGCAGGCCUAACACAUGCAAGUCGAGCGGAUGACGGGAGCUUGCUCCUUGAUUCAGCGGCGGACGGGUGAGUAAUGCCUAGGAAUCUGCCUGGUAGUGGGGGACAACGUUUCGAAAGGAACGCUAAUACCGCAUACGUCCUACGGGAGAAAGCAGGGGACCUUCGGGCCUUGCGCUAUCAGAUGAGCCUAGGUCGGAUUAGCUAGUUGGUGGGGUAAUGGCUCACCAAGGCGACGAUCCGUAACUGGUCUGAGAGGAUGAUCAGUCACACUGGAACUGAGACACGGUCCAGACUCCUACGGGAGGCAGCAGUGGGGAAUAUUGGACAAUGGGCGAAAGCCUGGUCCAGCCAUGCCGCGUGUGUGAAGAAGGUCUUCGGAUUGUAAAGCACUUUAAGUUGGGAGGAAGGGCAGUAAGCUAAUACCUUGCUGUUUUGACGUUACCGACAGAAUAAGCACCGGCUAACUCUGUGCCAGCAGCCGCCGUAACAC
rnacentral:rRNA from 1 species